UCAAAACGGCGUCAUUUUAUUAUGUUAUAAAAUCCAAAUUUUUUUCAAAAUUUCAUUUCUGCCUAAGCCUUUAAAAAAAAAACUUAGAAUCCUCUCAUCCUCUCAUCUCCCCUCACCCCUUUCUCAGGUCGAAUGGGCCACCAUUCGUCGACACGCCGCCGCCAUGGCCAAUGGCCGACGACGAAAGAAAUGGGCCUCUCGGCCCUUGCUUCGUAGCGUACGAAAGUUGGGCUUUCAACCCGAGGGACAGAAGAAACUUUAGACCCUUUUUAAGGCUCGAUUCCGACGAUGGCGAAAAGACCUCCGCCGACGGAGCCACGGGGUGAUUCAGAAUCGAUGCUUUUGUAAAAAAAUACACAGGUGAACUUUGGGCUUUUAUAGCCGGAUCUAACAACUCUUGAUCAUUAUUUUUUGUCGUUUUGCUACUUUUUGUUCUUGUUUCUUGCUAUUGCGUGUGGUUUGGUCCUGCAGGUGUCAGGCGCAUAGGCGGCUGGUGAUAGGCAAACAGCGGCGGUGGCGUGUGAGGAGGCGGUUCUGACGUGCGGCGUUGGGGCUUAGGGUUUCCCUUUUUUGGCUGAAAAUUUUUAGUUUGUGGGCUGUUAUUUUGGGUUUAGGGUUAAUUUUGUUUGUAAUCUGGGCUUGCACUUAUUGUAAAUGGACUGUUAAUUUUGGUUUAAUAUUUGUAUUUGGGCCCAGGCAAUUUGGGCUUGUUACAAUAUGCGCUUACAAAUUUUGGUAUUCCAUUAGAAAUAUUAGUACAACUUUAUGUAAAUAUGAUUUUGGUA